UACAGAGGUCUCAAGCGUUGUUCGGAAUUACUGGGCGUAAAGGGUGCGCAGGCCGCGCGGGCAGUCAAAUGUGAAAUCCUGGGGCUCAACCUCAGAAUUGCGCUUGAUACUUCCGCGCUAGAACUUUGGAGAGGGAUCUGGAAUUCUCGGUGUAGCAGUGAAAUGCGUGGAUAUCGAGAAGAACACGCAGGGCGUAAGCAAGAUCCUGGACAAAUGUUGACGCUCAUGCACGAAGGCUAGGGUAGCGAACGGG
rnacentral:rRNA from 1 species